rnacentral:rRNA from 1 species
AGCGAACGCUGGCGGCAGGCCUAACACAUGCAAGUCGAACGAAGUCUUCGGACUUAGUGGCGGACGGGUGAGUAACACGUGGGAACGUGCCUUUAGGUUCGGAAUAACUCAGGGAAACUUGUGCUAAUACCGAAUGUGCCCUUCGGGGGAAAGAUUUAUCGCCUUUAGAGCGGCCCGCGUCUGAUUAGCUAGUUGGUGAGGUAAAGGCUCACCAAGGCUACGAUCAGUAGCUGAUCUGAGAGGAUGACCAGCCACAUUGGGACUGAGACACGGCCCAAACUCCUACGGGAGGCAGCAGUGGGGAAUCUUGCGCAAUGGGCGAAAGCCUGACGCAGCCAUGCCGAGUGGAUGAUGAAGGUCUUAGGAUUGUAAAAUCCUUUCACCGGUGAAGAUAAUGACUGUAGCCGGAGAAGAAGCCCCGGCUAACUUCGUGCCAGCCGCCGCCGUAAAAC